AUUGAACGCUGGCGGCAGGCCUAACACAUGCACGUCGAGCGGAGCGGCGGACGGGUGAGUGAUGCCAAGGAAUCUGCCUGGUAGUGGGGGAUAACGUUCGGAAACGGGCGCUAAUACAGCAUCCUCUCAGAUUAGCAUAGGCCGUAUUAGCUAGUUGGUGGGGUAAAGGCCUACCAAGGCGACGAUCCGUAACUGUUCUGAGAGGAUGAUCAGUCACACUGGAACUGAGACACGGUCCAGACUCCUACGGGAGGCAGCAGUGGGGAAUAUUGGACAAUGGGCGAAAGCCUGAUCCAGCCAUGCCGCGUGUGUGAAGAAGGUCUUCGGAUUGUAAAGCACUUUAAGUUGGGAGGCGUUACCAACAGAAUAAGCACCGGCUAACUUCGUGCCAGCAGCCGCGGUAAUAC
rnacentral:rRNA from 1 species